rnacentral:tRNA from 1 species
GGAAUAUAGCUCAGUUGGUAGAGUGCUUACCUUGAAAGCAUAAGGACCUGGGUUUAAUCCCCAGCACCA